CAGAGGCGUUUCCUCUUUUUAAUGCUCCUGGAACCGGAACUGACAUCAGCUCAACACAGACCGAAGACAGACAGCAAUACAAUCUGAUUAUAUCACAAGUGAGAAAACCACUUGGCGAAAAAUGUAUCCACAAAGGACUGAGGACCACAUUAUCCACACAGGGCGUACGGAUCGCGGUUUCACAGAAAACCGCUACACUAAAAGGUUCCAACCAGGGUUGAGGAUCGCGUCUCCGGGGCUGAGGAGUGCGGGUUUGAAUAAGUCGGGUUUGAAUAGGUCGGGUUUGAAUAGGUCGGUCUCAUGAUCAGCAUAUAUAUAUAAGUGUCGUCUCACUUCUCUGGUGCUCGGUUGCCUCCUGAAUGGUCAACUCGCGUAUCUGGAAAGCGAUAACGACGUUGGAAGACGAAGAUUUCAACACCACGGAAGAAAGGAGCUGCCGGGAUUGCUUUAGAGAGAGUGCAACAGUGGUACCAAGGCCUUUGAUUGAGAAACAAUACACAAUGGAGCCCUCACAGCUCACCAAGAUACCAUACCUUUGGAUUCUUCGUGAAGUUCAACUAGAGCAAAAGCAGCUUCUGGAGGCCCUGAUGCAAGCACAGGCAGAAACCCAACAGAUGUUCCAGACCAUCAUACAGAGAGUGGUAUCUGAAGCUCGCAAGAAAGCCGUCUUGCAGUGGUCAGAGCAACAUCGUCAGCGGUUUCGCUUCUUGAUCCUCAGUGAUGUCGGCAAUCCAUUUGCAUUUGCACAACAGCUCCAAGACAACUGUCAGAAGUGAUUGCUGGCUGAGGAUCAGGAUGCCAGAAGGAUUGUAGAACAGGUGGUAAUGGAGCAGUUUGUUGCCCAACUUCCAGAAGUAACAGCCAAGUGGGUCCAGCACCAACAACCAGCAACACUAAAUGAGGCUAUCCAAUUGGCAGAGAAUCACCUGGGAUCUCUCUCUCUCCCCUUCAACAUCUAUCUGAGUGAAGCAAUGCUUCACGCACGCUGGGUGAAGCGGUCAGAGCAACAUCGCCAGAGGUUCCGCUCCUUGACCCUCAGUGACGUCGGCCACCUAUUUGUGCUUGCACAACAGCUCCAAGACAACUGUGAGAAGUGGUUGCUGGCUGAGGAUCAUGACGCUGGAAGGAUUGUGGAACGGGUGGUAAUGGAGCAGUUUAUUAACCAGCUUCCAGAACAGACAGCCCACUGGGUUCAGCACCACCAACCGGCAACAAUAAAUGAGGCUAUCCAAUUGGCGGUGAACCACCUGCCGUCUUUUGCUGUCUCUGCCCCUUAACAUGUCCCCAGUUUGGGUUAUUGGAAUAAAAAAAAAAAAAAAAAAACUAAUUCGUGACAUGUUAAUCAGCCUAAUAUUUUAUUUCGGACUCAAAAUCCUUAUUUCUACAAUAUUUAUUUUAUUAUUUACCUAUAAAACAGAGACAAACAUUUGAAUACCAUUAUUUAUGUAUGCGUGCAUUUAUUUUAUUUUAGUUCAUGGAGCAUAAACAAAGUGAAAACCUGUCUGAAAAAGGGCUUGUUACAGAACCCUACUGUAAAAAAUGUCCGUAGAAUUAACAGGGAAUUUAUGUAAAAUCAUGACAUAAAAAAACUGUAAAUACAAAAACAAUGAAGCAGUGUGUAAUUUACAUCAAUAUACUGUAAAACUCCUCACCAAAUACCACUGUUAAUUUAACAGUAAGAAUAUGUUGAAUUGAUCAUAUUUUUUUGUAGAAUUUACAAAUUGUUGUAGUUUAAACACAGACAAACUGUAAUACUAAAACAGAAUGUGAUAGUUAAAAUUACAUAAUUGCCCUGUUAAAAAAAAUACAAAAACGGCCACUGUCGUGGCUCAGUCGACUAAGGCGCCAUACUGUGAAUCUGGGGACCCGGGUUCGAUUCUGACCCAAGGUCGUUUCCCAGUCUCUCUCUAGCUCAUUUCCUGUCUCUACACUGUCCUAUUCAAUAAAGGUGAAAAAAGCCCCCCCAAAAAAAUAUCUGUCUAGUAGAUCAUUGAAACCAGCAUACAAAAAUCCCGUUGUUCUUACGGAAAAAAACUGGCAGCUGGAGUCACCGUAAAAUAUACAGCAAAACGGUAAUUGCUUUUACGGUACAGCUUGUACAUUUUACAGUUAAAUCCAGCAUAUAAAACACUGGACUUCUGUUAU